rnacentral:lncRNA from 1 species
ACUGUUUUCACACAAUCAAUACUAAUACAGUAUGAUGAAGGUGCUUGGAUUGUUUCCAUGAAAAGUAUCUUGCAUAGAAAACUAAAGAACCAACUGAUGCAUCUUAUAAUUUACAGGCUAGAAAUCUGCAUCUUGUUGUCAAGUAUGCUCUCCACAUCAGCUGCCUGCACCGGGAUCAUUGACACAUGGAGCUAAAACAAUAUAUGAGGAAAACUCCAUGAGUUCUGAAUAAUGCUAGAAAUUAAAGCAACUGGGUAAAAAGUAUAGUUAUAACUGUACGUGAAAUAAGUACUCGAGUAAAAUUAACUGUCGCCACAAGUCAAAUGAAGUACAUCGAUUCUGAAGCAUUUCUAAAUAUGUCUAUACAAAACAUUAAGCUGAUUCUGGAAAAUUUAUUGGUGCAAGCUUACGAAUAAAUUAGGCGUAUAUUCUACAGUGAGCUUUGAUAUUUCUAAUAAUCUUAACUUUAGCAAGCAUCAAGCAGCUCCAUAAUAUACAUUAUUAGCCAAAUUUUAUGUCUUCUGCCUAUCAAUUCCAUUUUUAUAAUGCUUAUGGCAUAUAAAAGAAAACAUUUCCAAAAGACAUCUACAAGCAAAUAUUCGGACUUUCCUAAGUCAACGAGUAAACGAACUAAUUAUUCUAAUUGGUGCACUUUCAUAGGAAAAGAAAGGAAGCGAAAUUGUAAACUAACUAGUAACAAUCUUAAGGGGGGCAUUUUCCAAUAAAUGUAUGCUCACAAAACUAAUAAAUAGAUGACAAGAUGACCUUAAACGUGAAGCAUAUCCAUAUUCUAUGGCUUGGCAGGAGUGACAAUAUAGAUAAGCAGACACUCCUUACAUUUCAGAUGCCACUUCAGGUUUGAUGUCACAUAAAUAAGGAGCAAAUGGUACAAAGUGGUGAAGGAAGGUAUAUGACACUCUAAACGUGAAGAAAAACAUGAAGGCCAGAUGUGUCACAGGUCAAUAGAAACAGUUCGUGCGUACUGGCAAAUAACAAAAAUACCUAAACUUUCUGCAGGUGCUUCCACCUCAACCUCUGAAGCAAAGUUUCCUUCCUCACCAAAGUGAAAGUCCGUCAUCUGGUCCGGAAUAACCCAAGAUAUGGGAAUUGCAGCAACUAACAUAAAAAUUAUUUCAAUCAAGCUUAACUAUCAUCUGACUAUGUAUGAGACAAAACGGCAAAGAAUAAAUAAGGAAAUAUGUUUAACAGAAGGACCUAAUAUAAACGGAAGUAUGACCAGUUACCCAUCUCGUAGGGAUUAAAAUCAGAUUUUUAGUAGAUUUUGAUAAAAGUUAAUGAAAUGUAUGGUUGAAAAGUUGUAGAUCCUAUGAAAUGAGUGAUUAAAAUUAAUUGUUGAUUUUGACUUAAAUUAAAAUUUGGAUUUUAAUUUAUACCAAACAUGGGCUUAGUAAGCGAAAAUCAAACUUCAAACCUGGUACUAAAGCGCCACUAAUCUCAGGUGAAGUAGUAGAAGUAGCACGACGCUUUCGCUCAUAAUUUUCCUCCAUUGGUGCUGGAUUUUGAACUAAAAUGCGGCAGAGAAACAAAAUAUGGCAGAGAAAGGAAAUAUGCUUAACAUAAGGAAACUCAUAUAAAAGAAAAUAUGAACAGUUAGAUAGUAAGAAUCAAACUUCAAACCUGGUACCAAAGCGCCACUCAUCUCAUGUGAAGCAGCAGAAGUAGCACGACGCUUUCGCACAUAAUUUUCUUCCAUUGGUGCUGGAGUUUGAAACAAAAUGCAGCAGACGAACAGAACACAGUAGAGAAUAAAUAGGAAAUAUAUUUAACAUAAACACCUAAUAUAUAUAUAGUUAGAAAUCUUAGUAAGCAAGCAUCAAACUUCGGACCUGGUACCAAAGCGCCACUCCUCCCAUGGGAAGCAGCAGGAGUAGACUUUCGCACAUAAUUUUCCUCCAAUGGUGCUGGAUUUUGAAAUGAAAACUGUGACUCUUUGACACCCUGAUAUUCUGGAUGUUCAUUUAGAAAGCUGGAAAGGGAAACAUCAGAAAACAUUCAAAAUAAAUAAAACAAAUGAAAGAUUCUGAAAUCUAAAAUUAUUCAUGCUUCUUACAACGUGUUAUAAAAAACCUAAGCAACUGUUAAUGAUCAUCAAGAGAUGAAUUUUACCUCCGAACUUUCACCAUUGAUCGAAAUCUCUCGCCUGAUGGAGCAUCAUAGUACCUAUCAAGAAAAAUGAGUCGACUUAGUUCAAGUCAGAAUGACAUUUCCACUAUUUAAAGCCUUAAAAGUAAUUGUAACUGAAUUGUAAACAUACACAUCAGAAAAUCUUGUGCCUCCUUCAGCUCUUAUUCGUAAAAUUCGUUGCCAGCCAUGAGGAGGCUGAGGAAUACCGGGCUUGUCUAUCGCCCAAUGCCAGCUGCCAUCUUUAAUAAGAUCUGAUUCAUCAUCACAUGUUAUUUCAGGCCGCCAUUCACGAGCCAUUUCACAAUGGAAAGGCAGUACAGCUAUAGUUUCUCUUAUCUGUUCAUAUUUCUGCUUUGUAGGGAUGAACCUCCACUUUGAACAGUUGGCACACUGAACGGUAUAAGCUCUUACUGAAUCCAGCAUUUUAAAUGUCUUCAGAGACCUGCCAAUAUGGGAAGGAAUGAAAUCAUUAGAAAGAAGAGAGCAUCAUAAUAGCACAAGAGGAAUAAUCAUUGCAGCAAAUUUCAUUCGAAUUUUUAUUUCUAAAAAGAUGAAAAUCGUAAAGUUUUAUUCCAGGGCUUAGUAAGCGAAAAUCAAACUUCAAACCUGGUACUAAAGCGCCACUAAUCUCAGGUGAAGUAGUAGAAGUAGCACGACGCUUUCGCUCAUAAUUUUCCUCCAUUGGUGCUGGAUUUUGAACUAAAAUGCGGCAGAGAAACAAAAUAUGGCAGAGAAAGGAAAUAUGCUUAACAUAAGGAAACUCAUAUAAAAGAAAAUAUGAACAGUUAGAUAGUAAGAAUCAAACUUCAAACCUGGUACCAAAGCGCCACUCAUCUCAUGUGAAGCAGCAGAAGUAGCACGACGCUUUCGCACAUAAUUUUCUUCCAUUGGUGCUGGAGUUUGAAACAAAAUGCAGCAGACGAACAGAACACAGUAGAGAAUAAAUAGGAAAUAUAUUUAACAUAAACACCUAAUAUAUAUAUAGUUAGAAAUCUUAGUAAGCAAGCAUCAAACUUCGGACCUGGUACCAAAGCGCCACUCCUCCCAUGGGAAGCAGCAGGAGUAGACCGCAAACAUUCAUGUACAAUUAUUAUGAAUUAUACAACAUUAAAUAGCGAAUGGUGAUCAGCUUACGUGAUAUCCAUACCUCCAAUUGGCGGAAAGAUUCCGGCGUCGGAAUGAAGGCGGCGACGGCAGUACCGGAGCAAAACUGAUGCGAGGGUAUGAAUCUGUGAGAGACUGAAAGUUGUCCUAAAGUGAGUGACGAAAACAUUCUAGUGACGUUGACACCCUGAUAUUCUGGAUGUUCAUUUAGAAAGCUGGAAAGGGAAACAUCAGAAAACAUUCAAAAUAAAUAAAACAAAUGAAAGAUUCUGAAAUCUAAAAUUAUUCAUGCUUCUUACAACGUGUUAUAAAAAACCUAAGCAACUGUUAAUGAUCAUCAAGAGAUGAAUUUUACCUCCGAACUUUCACCAUUGAUCGAAAUCUCUCGCCCGAUGGAGCAUCAUAGUACCUAUCAAGAAAAAUGAGUCGACUUAGUUCAAGUCAGAAUGACAUUUCCAUUGUUUAAAGCCUUAAAAGUAAUUGUAACUGAAUUGUAAACAUACACAUCAGAAAAUCUUGUUCCUCCUUCAGCUCUUAUUCGUAAAAUUCGUUGCCAGCCAUGAGGAGGCUGAGGAAUACCGGGCUUGUCUAUCGCCCAAAGCCAGCUGCCAUCUUUAAUAAGAUCUGAUUCAUCAUCACAUGUUAUUUCAGGCCGCCAUUCACGAGCCAUUUCACAAUGGAAAGGCAGUACAGCUAUAGUUUCUCUUAUCUGUUCAUAUUUCUGCUUUGUAGGGAUGAACCUCCACUUUGAACAGUUGGCACACUGAACGGUAUAAGCUCUUACUGAAUCCAGCAUUUUAAAUGUCUUCAGAGACCUGCCAAUAUGGGAAGGAAUGAAAUCAUUAGAAAGAAGAGAGCAUCAUAAUAGCACAAGAGGAAUAAUCAUUGCAGCAAAUUUCAUUCGAAUUUUUAUUUCUAAAAAGAUGAAAAUCGUAAAGUUUUAUUCCAGUGUGUGUGCAUAUUUACUCGUCUUUUUCUUCAGUAAGUUCCGAAUUUAAAACAACCACCAUCAAGGCAAUCUCACAAAUAAGAGAUGAGUAAAAAUACCAUGCAAUCUCACCUUGAAUGAAUAAUAAAAGUUUCUAUGAGUUUUACAUUAUCUUGAAUUCCUUGACCUUACUUGAAAAACAUUGAAUAAUUGAAAUUUGGAAACCUAGGUUUCCAUUGCAAUCAUUUCUGUUUUACCAACAAAAGCAAAUACGAUUGUGUAUUAAAAUUUCAAACUUGGUAUAUACGCACGAAAACAGAAGAACCAACUCCCGAAAACAAUAAAAUUCUGUCAAGACAUUAACAGGCCCUAGAAAAUAGGAAGAAAAAAAUACAUAGAAAACUAUGAAAUGUAAAACAGCUGAUAGUAGAAUAUAAAACAAUUGCUAAGAAACACAAAAACAAAAAGAACUAUUAGGAAAUUAAUACAAAAGAUUCAGGAAAACCAGACUCUUUAAAAGUGUCACAAAAAGCGAAAAUUCACCAAAAAUAAAUAAAUAAAUAAAUAAAAUUAUAUCAGAACCGGAAAAUUUAAAAAGAAAAAAAAAUCAUCCGUGACAGGUUAUAAUUUAGAACCCAAAAGAAAAAUCAACGUCAAAAUUUUCUUUUCAAUGCUAAGAGAAGAACAUGCAAUUCAAACAAAACCCUGGUUAAAAAACUAAACUUUAGAUAACCCGAUACAGGAGACGCAAACAUUCAUGUACAAUUAUUAUGAAUUAUACAACAUUAAAUAGCGAAUGGUGAUCAGCUUACGUGAUAUCCAUACCUCCAAUUGGCGGAAAGAUUCCGGCGUCGGAAUGAAGGCGGCGACGGCAGUACCGGAGCAAAACUGAUGCGAGGGUAUGAAUCUGUGAGAGACUGAAAGUUGUCCUAAAGUGAGUGACGAAAACAUUCUAGUGACGUUUAUAUACGGGAUAUGCAUUGAGUAAAUAGCAUCAAGUGUCCUCAUCUUUCAUAUUAUUUGCAAAUUCAUCCUCUAACCACCUUAACAAAAGUGAAAUGAUCUAAUGAGUAUCGAUGCUUAACUUAUAUUAAGUACCGGUGAUAUGACACAUCAAUUAAUUGGUGAAUCAUUAAAUUCACGGGACGUACCAUUAACUUAUUCAAGGUGGGUGGAUGAAUUUAAUUGAGGCUCUUCGGGUUGAAUAAGAUCAAUUUGAAUUCGAGAAAGGUAAAUCGAUUAACUAAAAAGAAUUCGAUCAAACACCUGGAUAAGUAAAGAAUCUUGAUUUGCGAAACACAAAAAUAUGCUGAUAUGGAAAAAAUCACUUUAACAUAAUACAGUAAUCGUAAAAUUUUGCAGGAAGCUUAUCCAUCCAAGAUCAGUUGCUAUCAAAAGCACCUACACCUUCACCUCCAUUGAGUCCAUUGAUUUGUUAAACCAAUGGUUGAAAUUCUUUCUCAAAAAUAUUUGUCAAAAAUCUUAGUAGAAGGAACACUCCCCAAAAAAUUGUCACACAAGUCAAGAUAAACCGUUUUAAGAAAUCCCCUCUCCAAUGCAAGCUGACGUGACACAUAUUUAGACACACUGUUAAACGAAUUAUUCGACAAAAUUAAUAUUUUAUUUCCAUAUUAGAUGUGACCCUGUUUUUAUUUUAAGAAAAUAAAUGAUAAACUAUAAAGUGUAUUACAGUUAAGUUUAAAUUUUAGAGUUUGUACGAGAUAUCAAUGACUUAUAGAUCAAAAGUCUUUCAAUUACCUAUUUAGUAAUCAAAAGAGUGGAUUGGAGAUCCUAUCACGCCGUCUACACGAAUACAAACAAAAAUUUUAACUUCAUUAUUGAUCUUGUCCAAUCUAGCCUAUUAAAUACGCCAAAAAUACUUCAACUCUGGAAAAUUAGUUUCAAAUAUUAUUUCAAGUGCUGAAUUUUUUUCAAAACUACGCCCCUGUUUGGUACCUAUUAAAAUUCAAAUUUUAAUUUAAGUUAAAGUAAACAAUUAAUUUUAACCAUAUAUAUUAUGGGUUCCACAACUUUUUAACCACAUAUUUCAUCAACUUUUAUCAAAAUUUACUAAAAAUUUGAUUUUAAUCUCCACCAAAUAGGAGUUACAUUUAAAUGCUAAUAUGCCAACUUCAUGGCUUUAGGAAGUUACAAUAGAUUUCUACUUAUAAAAUGGCAUUCUUGAAUAGCCCAUCUUUAUUGAGGUAUGAUUUUGAAAGAUUAGUAGCCAUUGCAAGUUGAAACAAUGACAUCAUCAUGCUACACGUAUAUAAUAGUGUACAUAUGGGUUUACACUCUUCUCAUAUGAAAGGAGGUCCAUAUAUAAUAAAUUAUGUGUGGCCCCCCUCCACGUGAGAAGGGUGUAACCCAUGUGUACACCUUUGAGGUGUACAAGCAACAUUACCCUUAAUUUAUUUGCCUCAUUAGUUUUUAGUAUAAUUUUAUUUAUUAUUCUGCAGAAGUCUGGCUUCCUAUAUUUCAUUCCAUCCAAUUUUUUUGUUCAAUUCAAACAUUAGAUGGCGAUGUGUUUAUAAUAUUUUUCGCGCUUAAAUAAACGCAGAGGAAGGCACAAAAUACAAGCAAAGACUCGGAUAGAGCCCUAUGCGAUAGUUUUACAUUGUUUUCACACAAUCAAUAUUAAUACAGCACGAUAAAGGUGCUUGGAUUGUUUCCAUGAAAAGUAUUUUGCAUAGAAAACUAAAGAACUAACUGAUGCAUCUUAUAAUUUAGAAGCCAUACGAUGAACUAGAAUUUUGCAUCUUGUUGGGAAGCAUGCCCUCAACAUUUGCCGCCUGCACCGGGAUCAUUGACACAUGGAGCUAAAACAAUAUAUGAGGAAACCUCCAUUAGUUUUGAAUAGUGCAAGAAAUUAAAGUAACUCAGUAGUAAGUAUAGUUAUAACAGUACAUUGAAUAAGCGCUGAAGUUAAAUUAGUUUUCCCUCUAAAAAAUAAAACGGAUGAAUCAUGUUCCAUACUAGGUGAAAACUCAAAAAUGUAAAUGCAGCCACACACCAUAGUCUAAACUCACCUCACCAAUACGUUUGAGACACUCAAUGCACAGUUCAAGUUGAAAGCUCUGAAUAUUAAACCUCAAUCCCAGCAGUUAAUCUAUCAAGUUUAUGUCUGAGCAUCAACUAAGCACUAAGAAAAAUUGCGUGAUUAAGUUUGUCCUGCAUACUAAUUAGAUUAUCCCAUCGAACAAAUUUCCAAAUAUGAGAUACUUCGCAUAACAGAACAAGUAAUGCUAGAAAUGACCUUCUUGCUAUUUGAAGUGCUUUUUUACAAAGUACUGAAUUGGACACGAAAACAAGAUUUUAGCUUAUUUUUUUACAUAACAUGCCACGAAUGUAGUACUAACUCUCGCCACAAGUAAAAUGAAGUAUAUCGAUUGUGAAGCAUUACUAAAUAUGUCUAUACAAAAUAUAAAGCUGUUUCUGGAAAAUUUAUUAGUGCAUGCUUACAAAUAAAUUUGGUGUAUAUUCCACAUUGGGCUUUGAUAUUUCUCAUAAUCUUAACUUUAGCAAGCAUCAUGCAGCUCCAUAAUAUAUAUUGAUAGCCAAAUUUUAUGUCUUUUGCCUAUCAAUUCCAUUUUCAUAUUGUUUAUGGCAUAUAAAAAAAAAAAAUUUUUCCAGAAGACAUCUACUAGCAAAUAUUUGGACUUUGCUAAGUCAAUGAGUAAACUAAUUAAUUAUUCUAAUUGGUGCACUUUCAUAGGAAAAGAAAGGAAGCGAAAUUGUAAACUAACUAGUAACCAUCUUAAUGGGGAUAUUUUCCAAUAAAUAUAUGCUCACAAAACUAAUAAAUGGGUGAUAAAUAGAUGACAAGAUAACCUUAAACAUGAAACAUAUCCAUAUUCUAUGGCAUGGUAGGAGUGACAAUAUAGAUAAGUAGCACUUUUUACAUUUCAGAUGCCAUUUUAGGUUUCAUGUCACAUAAAUGAGGAGCAAAUGGUACAAACUGGUGAAGGAAGGUACAUGACACUAAAACAUCAAGGCACGAAUGUUCGGCCCAAGUGUGUUUAAGCUGUGACCGCCUCCGGAUUUAUCUAGGUGGUGAACUAGCGGGAAAGGUCGCCAUUUCCCAGGAUUAGUCAGGCAAAGCUUGGACAUCUGAGUUAUAAAAAUAAAAAUAAAAAAACACGAAGGCCAGAUGUGUCACAGGACAACAGAAACAGUUCAUGCGUUUGGGCAAAUAAUAAAUUACCUAAACUUUCUGCAAGUGCCUUUGCCCCAACCUCUGAAGCAAAGUUUCCUUCCUCACCAAAGUGAAAGUCCGUCAUCUGGUCCGGAGUAACCCAAGAUAUGGAAAUUGUAGCAACUAACAUAAAAAUUAUUUAAAUCAAGCUUAACUAUCAUCUGACUAUGUAUGAAACAAAAUGCAGCAAGAAUAAAUAAGGAAAUAUGUUUAAUGGAAGGACCUAAUAUAAAAGAAAAUAUGACCAAUUAUAAAUCCUAGCCCCUGUUUGGUUGGAAUUAAAAUCAGUUUUUCAAUAGAUUUUGAUAAAAGUUAAUGAAAUGUAUGGUUGAAAAGUUGUGGAUCCUAUGAAAGAAAUGGUUAAAAUUAAUUGUUGAUUUUGACUUAGAUUAAAAUUUGGAUUUUAAUUUAUAGCAAACAUGGGCUUGGUAAAUAAACAUCAAACUUCAAACCUGGUACUAAAGCGUCACUCAUCUCACAUGAAGCAGUAAAAGUAGCACGACGCUUUCGCUCAUAAUUUUCCUCCAUUGGUGCUGGAUUUUAAAUAAAACGCAACAGAGAAACAAAAUAUGGCAGGGAAGAAUUGAGUAAAUAUGUUUAACAUAAGCCCUCAUAUAAAAGAAAAUAUGAUCAGUUAGAUAGUAAGAAUCAAACCUCAAACCUGGUACCAAAGUGCCACUCAUCUUAUGUGAAGUAGCAGAAGUAGCAUGACGCUUUUGCACAUAAUUUUCUUCCAUGGGCGCUGGAGUUUGAAACAAAUGCAGUAAACAAAUAAAACACGAUAGAUAAUAAAUAAGGAAGUAUAUUUAACAUAAACACCUAAUAUAAAAGAAAAUAUGAAUAGUUAAAAGAUCUCAAUAAGCAAGCAUCAAACUUCUGACCUCGUACCAAAGCGCCAAUCGUCCCAUGUGAAGCAGGAGUAGACUUUCGCACAUAAUUUUCCUCCAUUGGUACUAGAUUUUGAAAUGAAAACUGUGACUUUGUUACACCCUGAUAUUCUAGAUGUUCAUUCAGAAAACUAGAAAAGGGAAAUCAUCAGAAAACAUUCAAUAUAAAUAAAAAAAUGAAAGAUUCUGAAAUCUAAAAUUAUUCAUGCAUCUUACAACGUGUUAUAAAAAAUGUAAGCAACCGUUUGUCAUGGAAAUACCUCGAGAAAUCUUGAUCUUGGACUUAGAAAACACCCAAACGAACACCACUUAACCUCGGCUCGACCCAAAACUUUCACACUUGAUUGUCACAAGUUUCACUCCACAAAGGAGACUAUGGUGGUGGUAUAUGCAAUCCACAAAGGAAGGAGAAAGAUGAAGGAAGACACCAAAAUGCUCCAAGCUCUCUAACUCCAAAGAAAGCCAUCUGUCUCUCUUUUUUCUUCUCUCUUGCAUGCGCGCACACACACACACACACACACACACAAAAAGACACGACUAGGAACAAAACAUAUAUAGCAAGACCUUAGGUCACUCAUAUGGAUUGGGCCAUAGUCUUUUCUACAAAUGGGCUACCACUUAAUUACAAAUAAAUGGACCACACAAUCCAAAACCAUCCAACUUAAACUUGGGCCAUCCAAAAGCACAGGUCGUUUUUUAGUCGAGCCAAAUCCAUGGUGUCGAUAAAUUAUCCGACAAAUGUUUUAAAUCAUCACCCGAAUGUAUCAAAAAGCCCAACACUGUUAAUGGUCAUCAUAAAUGAAUUUUACCUCUGAACUUUACCACUGAUCGAAAUCUCUCGCCCGAUGGAGCACCAUAGUUCCUAUCAAGAAAAAUGAGUCCACUUAGUUAAAGUCAGAAUGACAUUUCCACUGUUUAAAGCCUUAAAAGUAAUUGUAACUGAAUUGCAAACACACACAUCAGAAAAUCGUGUGCUUCCUUCAGCUCUUAUUCGUAAAAUUCGUUGCCAGCCAUGAGGAGGUUGAGGAAUACCGGGCUUGUCUAUUGCCCAACCUUAGCUUCCAUCUUUAAUAAGAUCUGAUUCAUCAUCACAUGUUAUUUCAGGUCGCCAUUCAAAGAGCUGUUCCACAAUAGAAAGGCAGUACAGCUACAGUUUCUCUUAUGUGCUCAUAUUUCUGCUUUGUAGGGAUGAACCUCCACUUUGAACAGUUGGCACACUGAACAGUAUAAGCUCCUACUGAAUCCAGUAUUUUAAAUGUCUUCAGAGAACUGCCAAUAUGGGAAGGAAUGAAAUCAUUUGAAAGAAGAGAACAUCAUAAUAGCACAAGAGGAAUAUUGAUUGCAGCAAAUCUCAUUGGAAUUUUUAUUAUAUCUAAAAAGAUGAAAAUUGUAAAAUUUUAUUCUAGUCUACGUGCAUCUUUACUUCUCUUUUCUUCAGGAAGUUUUGAGUUCAAAACAACCACCAUCAAGCAAUCUUACAAAUAAGAUAUGAGGAAAAAUACUAUGCAAUCUCACCUUGAAGAACAAAAGUUCCUAUGAGUUUCUACAUUAUUUUAAAUCCUUUGACCUUACUUGAAAAAUAUGGAAUAAUUGAAAUUCGGAAACUUAGGUUUCCAUUACAAUCAUUUCUGUUUGACCACAAAAGAAAAUAUGAUCGUGUAUCAAAAUUUCAAACUUGGUAUAUAAAUGAAAACAAAAGAACCAACUCCCGAAAACAAUAAAAUUCUGUCAAGACGUACAGGCCCUAGAAAUAUAUAGUUGAAAAUGGAAGGACAAAAAUACAAAGACAACUAUGAAAUGUAACAGCUGAUAGUAGAAUAUAGACACAUGGCUAAGAAACCCAAAACCAAAAAGAACUAUUUGGAAACUAAUACAAAAGAUUUAGGAAAACCAGACUCUUUAAAAGUGUCACAAAAAGCGAAAAUUCGCCCAAAAAAAAUUCAUAUCAGUACCAGAAAAUUUAAAUAGAGAAAAAAAAAUCAUCUGUCAUGAGUUAUAAUUUAGAACCUAAAAGAAAAAUCAACUGUUGAAAAAUAAUGGCAAUGAAGAAGAGAAUAUAAAAAUAUAUCAAUGAAGGCUCGAACAUGAAAUUAAUCUCGCUGUCCUCAAACGUUAUUUGCCUCAUUUCUAAAAGAUUUUAAGAAUUUUCGGCAAACCGUUCGUAGGAUUAAACAAGCCUUGAUGUGAAGAACACCAAAAGCAAAAAAUGUAACUUCACAAUGAACAAGUGAAAAUUGGGAUGAUUAUGUGAUAAUUUCCUGAAUAUUUGGAAGAAUAAUUUGGGGAUAAAAUUAUUUGCAAAUUCAUCCUCUAACCACCUUAUCAUAAGUGAAAUGAUCUAAUGAGCACCGGUGCUUAACUUAUAUUAAGUACCGGUGAUAUAACACACCAAUUAAUUGGUGAAUAAUUAAAUUCACGGGACCUACCAUUAACUUAUUCAAGGUUGGUGGAUGAAUUUAAUUGAGGCUCUUCGGGUUGAAUAAGAUCAAUUUGAAUUCGAGAAAGGUAAAUCAAUUAAUUAAACAGAAUUCAAUCAAACACCUGGAUAAGUAAAGAAUCUUGAUUUUCAACACAAAAAUAUACUGAUAUGGAAAAAAUCACUUUAACAUAAUAAAUUUUGCAGGAAGCUUAUCCCUCCGAGAUCAAUUGCUGUCAAAAGCACCUACACCUUCACCUCCGUUGAGUCCAUUGAUUUGUUAAACCAAUGGUUGAAAUUCUUUAUCAAAAAUAUCUGUCAAAAAUCUUAGUAGGAGGAACACUCCCCAAAAAAUUGUCACACAAGUAAAGAUAAAUUGUUUUAAGAAAUCCCCUCCCCAAUGCAAGCUGACGUGACAUAGGUUUAGACACAUUGUUAAACGAAUUAUUUGACAAAAUUAGUAUUUUAUUUCCAUAUUAGAUGUGACCCUGUUUUUAUUUUAAGAAAAUAAAUGAUAAAGUAUAAAGUGUAUUACAAUUAAGUUUAAGCCUCAUUAUCUCACGUUAAAUUACAUUAUUUGCAAAUUUUCAACCCACUUUUUUGACUCAGGUGGAAGCCACCUCUGUAAACUCAUUUAUCAGUUUGCAGAUAGCCCAUUUUUCAAAGUGAACGUUAGGGCUAAAAGGACAAUUCUCUCCACAUGGCUACACCAAUUUACCAAUAUGCCCCUUCCUUGAUAUUUUGUAGCCAAAGUCACGAUUUGCUCUCAGAUUUUGCACAGUUUCUCCUUCCAUUUGAAGACGGUCCCCAAAUUCAAUCCGUGCAGUCACCGGACAACUCAAAUUCAUCGACUCUGUCGACGUUAGGAUACCGUUUAACACGCCUGGACCUAAACCCCUUUGACGAGAAAGUCGAAGAUCUGCCGAUCUGUCGUCCUACGACACGAACACCUAUUGCCACGCCCGAACUUUCGAUGGCACCUCUACUCUCGUUUUCAUGGAAUGGACGACGAAGGCUCGCACUAGGGCUACUUUCCAGCGAACAUGGUACAUUUCUACCCCCGACUCCAAACUUCCACCCUUUUGUGAACAUCUUGUGUUCGAAACUUGCAGCCAUUGAAGGCUCUGUUUUCGUCAAUUCGUGCCCUUUCACUUCUGUAUCUGCCAUUUAACCAUGUUUCUUUGUCAUUCAUAGAGCUACAACACCACGGGGAUAGAGCCAAUACCUGCAGCAACUCCUUUUCGACGAUCUGACAGGAGGAUCGACACCCGAAAGUGUGCAAAGUGGGAUCCCCAAGAACACCACAUUUUCAUCUCCAUGGCAGAGCACAUAACUGCCGAAGGACAUCGUCGUGGUAAAUGCUUUACGACUGUUGGAUGGGAGCGCAUCUGGGAAUUGUUCAACAAACGUGCCGGGGAGGAUUGGACAGUCACUCAACUGAAGAACCACUGGAGCGUUAUACGAACGAAUCACAAGCUCCUGAUGGAGUUGCUUCGAUUUUCGGGGAUUCACUACGAGCUGAACUCAGGGGGCAGAAUCAAAGCAAAUGAUUGGUUGUGGGAGCAGAAAAUAAAGGUAAUGCACUCUGCAAAAUCCAUUUCUCCGCUUCAACAUUCAUAUGGUUGCCUCUGUUUCAACGGUAAUGUGUUGUUGCACAACCUUGAUUCGAAAAUGUUAAGUUAGAAUUUCGUAAUGUUUUGCCUGCUGUCACAUUCUCGUGUCCAUAUGCAUUGUGUGGUAGCCAUAUCCAUUGUUGUAUGAGAAUAGUGAUUUGGUCCAUCACCUUAAGUAAACACAAUACGAUAAAAAUGUCUUAUAAUGGUAACUACCAAUACGCAUGAUGCAUCCUGCAUUUGUGAGUAUCUAAAACGCCUGCAUGAUUUUUGUGCUUCCAUGACUGGUUUAUUGCCCGUGAGGAUUGUACUCAACCAUAACGUUUCUGUCAUUCGUGUGCAGUAAUGUUGCGGGUCGUUCUGUGUGCUUCCAUAACUGGUUUGCUACAUAUGAGAUGUGUGCUUAACUGGAACAUUUUUGGAUUCGUACUGUGUUCUAACCACGUGUUCAUAUCUUUUGUGCAGGAGAAUCCGAAGUACGGCAAGUUCCGCUAUAACGACAACAACGAAAUUUUCCACACAUAUGGAAAACUGUUUGGUGCCACUCAAGACUCCACGAAGUACGCAUUAACACCGAUGAAACUGUCACAACACGAUCUCGAUGUGAGCUCGAACUGCGAUGCACAAGUAGAUUUCAAUGACAUGCUGCUGAUCAAUGCAGAGACUACGGACUCAUGUGACGGGCCGGCGGAGGGCAGAUUGAACUCUUUGAUGGACAUUUUCGUUGGUCGAAGUGGUGAGAAGCGUAGAGGAAAGUAGGUGUAGGGGACGGGGAAGAAGAAGAAGUUCGGAGCGAGGGAGGUAUUCGAAUCUGGGGACAAUUUGGCCAGUGCGUCACGGGAGUUUGCAUCUAUCCUUCGCUCCCGGGACAAAGGUAUGAUGACAAUAGCGGAAUGCAUGAAUGAUUUGCUGUCUACCGCCCUCGUCUAAUGUGGGGACGAGCUUCAUUUGUUCGCUUUGUGGUUCUUUCGUGACGUCACCAACCGUGUAGCGUAUGCUGCCGCUGAAAUGUCGCAGCUUCGUUUUGCGUGGAUGCAGUACUAUUUCAAACGCGACAAGGAGUCGAAGGAAGCAAAGUCGUCGAGGGCUCGGUGUAAAUUGUAGUUGACUGUUGCUUGUGUAUGUGUGAGUUUAUUAUGUAGGUCCAAUUGUUUGUAUUCGUAUGUGUUACCAGUAAUUUUGGGUAUUUCCUACCGUCGUAUGUCGUGUGUCUAGACUUGGAGACAUGUUGUUCCCGUUUUGUAAUAAUUAUAGUCUACGUGUGUGUGGGGUCACUGCAUGAACUUUUUUUUAUGUAUUAUCUAUGAAAGCAUGCAUGAGGAAUAUAUUCCCUGUACCAUGCAGAGAAUAUAUUCCUCUUUUGAAAUUGGCCACUCCUGUUAACCUCUAGUAUAGUUGCAUAAACGUGUGGUGGGUGUCUAUUGGUCAUGCUAUAACAUAUUCCCACUUUAAAAGGCCUUGCAACAAAUGUAAAUGGAACUUACUUGUAAGUUGGCAGAGAGUGGAACAAUAAUUCAUUUGGGAUGGCAAUAUAAGCAUCCCAAGUCCUCUUGUAGUAUCAUAGCCUCUGCUAGCCAAUACGUUGUUAUUGCAGAUGACGGACGACUCUCCUCGUAGUUCGUCUUUCAAAACGGACUGCAGUAUCACUUUACUCUCCAGUUUGGACGAAGAGUUGGAUGAUGAUAUCGUGCAGCAGAUGGAAGAUGACGUAUUGGAAUGGCUACAGUACUAUCGAAUCACUGAACGCGUUGUGCGAGAUUACCACUUACCGAGCAGGGAGCAGCGAUUCUUAUUUCCUACGACACGCAGCGGGCAUAUUUUCAUGUUGCAGAAUAUGCAUGUGUACCCGCAAACAUGCUUCCAGGAGUUUCGAAUGUAUCCCCCCAUGUUCACACACUUCACUCAUACCCUUCACGAUCAUUACGGAUUGACGAGCAGUUUAAACGUAGAUAUAUUCGAACAAGUUGGAAUGUUCCUAUGCAUUUUAGCACACGGGAAAGGAUAUCGCCAAGUUCAAAUCCUGUUCGGUCAUUCUUUACAAACCAUUUCACAGUAUUUCAGGCCCGUCCUUCGCUGCAUUGUCGCGUUAGGAGCCGACAUUAUAAAACCACACCAUGACUACAAUGACGACGUGCUUCAUCACCGUCCGAACCAUGCCCAGUAUCAACUGUUUUAGGUUAGGUCCUCCCUAUCAUUUGCGUGACAAAGUGCUCAUUUUUUAUGUUAACUAUUUCCUUGCUAAACUGUUGUUUUGCGUGCAGGACUACAUAGGUACAAUUGAUGGCACGCACAUUCGCGUGGUUCUGUUGCGACAUAAAAUGACGGACUUCAUCGGUAAGAAAGGAUAUCCAACUUAGAACGUGCUCACCGUUUACGAUUUCAACUUGUGCUUUACGUUCGUAAUGCCUAGAACACCUGGGAAUGCCCACGAUAGCCGUAUUCUGGCUCGUUUAGCCCGGACGUGAGUUUUUUGGAACCGAGGAAUGGGAAUUACUACUUAGUGGACUUAAGUUUUGCACACUGACCGGGGUACAUGGCCCUGUACAAAGGAUCCGACGUACGGUAUCACUUUCAGAAAUUUUGAAACAACAGUGGUGGUCGAUGACGUCUUUGAAAUUCACGCGAGAGGUUUAAUUUCCAUCACUCUUCCUGCCGUAAUGUAAUUGAGCGGACGUUCGACGUUUGGAAGCAAAGAUGGAAAAUUCUUGAUUGAAUGCUGGGCUACUCAUUCAGAGCGCAAACUUUUGUUGUCGUGGCAAUGAUGGCCGUUCAUAAUUUUUUGCGACGACAUGGAAGCCUUGACGAAGGAUUUCGCAGAGCAGAGGAAGCGGAGGACGAGGAAGUUGAGGUCGACCUCCCAAAUGAGGACGACAAAAUUGCAGCCGAAGAACAUGCGAUUGGGGAAGAGGAUGUACCGUGGAUACGACUUCACGACUAUAUGGCUGAAGCCCUUUAGUACUGAUAUUUUCAUCCGAAACGUGGGACACCGUUCAGAGUAAGAAUUUGACUAUGAAAAUGUAUUAUCUGAACGUGUGGAAAAAAUGGUCAUGCGUGGAAAAUGGGUGUCGUUGCGUCCAAACACAACGAAUGUGGAAAAAAUAUAAAAAAAAAUGCAUGGGUUAUGUAAACGUGGUCAACUUAUCUAAUUUUGAAAUAAAUAGGUCCUACCUUGUCUUCUCAUUUGCUGUUGUUUGUCUUGUAUGGAUAAUUCAAGUCCAUAAUUGCGGCUACCAGUAGGAGUAGUUGGGAGGACAAAGUGGUAAUUUUGUGCUACACAAAUUUACGUGCUAUAAGAUGUGAUGUCUAAAUUGUUUGGUGGUGGCCCCCACGUUUCACAUUGAAAUUUGCAAAUAAUGUAAUUUAAUGUGACAUAAUGGGGCUCAAACAUGGGCUAAAUUUUAGAGUUUGUUUACGAGAUAUCAAUGACAUAUAGAUCAAAAGUCUUUCAAUUACCUAUUUGUAAUCAAAAGAGUGGAUUGGAGAUUCUAUCGCGCUGUCUACACAUGAAUAGAAACAAAAAUUUUAACUUUAUUAUUGAUCUUGUCCAACCUAGCCUAUUAAAUACGCCAAAAAUACUUCAACUCUAGAAAAUUAGAUUCAAAUAUUAUUUCAAGUGCUGAAAUUUUUCAAAACUAGCCCCUGUUUGGUACCUAUUAAAAUUCAGAUUUUAAUUUAAGUUAAAGUCAGCUUUUAAUUUUAACCACAUAUUUCAUGGGUCCCACAACUUUUUAAUCACACAUUUCACCAAUUUUUGUCAAAAUUUAUUAAAAUUCUAAUUUUUAAUCUCCACCAAACAAGGGCUACAUUUAAAUGCUAAUAUGCCAACUUCAUGGCUUUAGGAAGUUACAAUAGAUUUCUACUUAUAAAAUGGCAUUCUUGAAUAGCCUAUCUUUAUUGAGGUAUGAUUUUAAAAGAUUAGUAGCCAUUGCGAAUUGAAACAAUGGCAUCAUCAUGCUACACGUAUAUAAUAGUGUACACAUGAGUUUACACUCUCCUCACAUGGAAGGAGGUACACAUAUAAUAAAUUAUGCGUGGCCCCCCUCCACGUGAGAAGGGUGUAAUCCGUGUGUAUACCUUGAGGUGUAGAAGCAACAUUACCCUUAAUUUUAUUUACCGUAUUAGUUUUUAGUAUAAUUUCAUUUCUUAUUCUACAGAAGUCUGGCUUCCUAUAUUUCAUUCCAUCCAAUUGUUUUGUUCAAUUCAAACAUUAGAUGGAAAUGCGUUUAUUAUAUUUUUCGCGCUUAAAUAAACGCAGAGGAAGGCACAAAAUACAAGCAAAGACUCGAAUAGAGCCCUCAUGCCUUCUAAAAGAUAUAUACUGCGAUAGUUUUACAUUGUUUUCACACAAUCAAUAUUAAUACAGCACGAUGAAGGUGCUUGGAUUGUUUCCAUGAAAAGUAUUUUGCAUAGAAAACUAAAGAACCAACUGAUGCUUCUUAUAAUUUAGAAGCCAUAAGAUGAACUAGAAUUCUGCAUCUUGUUGGGAAGUAUGCUCUCAACAUUUGCUGCUUGCAUGGGGAUCAUUGACACAUGGAGCU